GAUGAAGAACGUAGCGAAAUGCGAUAUGUAAUGUGAAUUGCAGAAUUCAGUGAAUCAUCGAAUCUUUGAACGCACCUUGCACUCCUUGGUAUUCCGAGGAGUACGCCUGUUCGAGUGUUAUGAAGCUCUCAAAACGCAAUUGGCUUAAAACCUGAUUGUUGUUUUGGAUUUGAACUUUGCCGUGUUAUAACGGCUGGUUUUAAAAGUAUUAGCUGGUACUAGAACGAAUUGGUUCUACUCAACGUGAUAAUUAUCUGAUCGUUGAGGACAUUCCUUUCACGAGGAAUGGCCAUAGUAAAUUCAAUGGACUGCUUCUAAUCUGGCUUUAAUUCUUUAUUGGAUUAACCACUUUUCAAAUCUGACCUCGAAUCAGGUGGGACUACCCGCUGAACUUAAGCAUAUCAAUAAGCGGAGGA
rnacentral:misc_RNA from 1 species